rnacentral:rRNA from 1 species
GACUACACGGGUAUCUAAUCCUGUUUGCUCCCCACGCUUUCGCACAUGAGCGUCAGUAUUGGUCCAGGAGGCCGCUUUCGCCACUGAUGUUCCUUCAGAUAUCUACGCAUUUCACCGCUACACCUGAAAUUCCGCCUCCCUCUCCCAUACUCAAGCCAUACAGUCUCGAAUGCAGUUCCCAGGUUGAGCCCGGGGAUUUCACACUCGACUUGUAUAGCCGCCUACGCGCGCUUUACGCCCAGUAAUUCCGAUUAACGCUCGCACCCUCUGUAUUACCGCGGCUGCUGGCACAGAGUUAGCCGGUGCUUCUUUUGUGGGUUACGUCAAUACCCCGACGUGUUAGGUCGAGGCUUUUCUUCCCCACCGAAAGGGCUUUACAACCCGCAGGCCUUCUUCACCCACGCGGCGUCGCUGGAUCAGGGUUUCCCCCAUUGUCCAAUAUUCCCCACUGCAGCCCCCCGUAGG